UCGCCAUCUUUGCUUUACAGCAUGUUUUAGAUUUUAUUAAAAGUGCCUGGCGCUGGUGUAUUGCAGAGCGCUGUCUCGUGGAUGGAUUCAUCUCCACGCAUUUUUUAUAGCAUUUACUAGUGACUCGAGGAUGGUGCGGAGAAACAAGAAAGACACUUAGAGACCGGAAAGUCAGGAAAACAAAAGCAGCACACAGGGUCUGGGAGAGCCUGGGAAACAGACUCAGAAGAUCUGGAUGUAUAUAUAGCUCUCAUCUACUUCUCCAGCAACAUGCCUAUCUGCCUCUCAAGACAUUUCCUUCCAUGAUGAUAAUGUCUAACCUUCUAAAGCCGUAAACAAGCCUCCAAUUAAAUGCUUUCUUCUAUAA